rnacentral:rRNA from 1 species
CAAUAGCGUAUAUUAAAGUUGUUGCAGUUAAAAAGCUCGUAGUUGGAUUUGUGGCGUACGGUGUGUUCCGGGCACUUGUUGUCUGAGUAACCUGCUGUUGCCAUCCUUGGGUGGAACCUGUGUGGCAUUAGGUUGCCGUGCAGGGGAUGCCCAUCAUUUACUGUGAAAAAAUUAGAGUGUUCAAAGCAGGCUUAUGCCGUUGAAUAUAUUAGCAUGGAAUAAUGAGAUAGGACUUUUUUGCUAUUUUGUUGGUUUGCGCAAGAAGGUAAUGAUUAAUAGGGACAGUUGGGGGUAUUCGUAUUCCAUUGUCAGAGGUGAAAUUCUUGGAUUUUUGGAAGACGAACUACUGCGAAAGCAUUUACCAAGGAUGUUUUCAUUAA